UGGGAGCAGAGAUACCGCACUUGGCAAUAGGCCUCCCAGAGCUGCAGCCUCAGCUGAAACAAGAGACAAGAGGCUGGGACAUCAAGGCCAUGGAAAUUCUCCUUCUGUGCUGCCGGUAGGACAGACGCACCUCCUGGAGCUCCAUCUGGCUUUGGUGCAGCUUGUGAAGAAAAUCAAGGAUGAGCACUCGGUCCUGCAGCUCCUCCACGGUUCCCUGGAGCAGGUCGUUCUCCUCCAUCAUGGCACUAAGGCGAUGCUCC